GCAAAUAAGGGACCCUAAAACCCUGAACGGACACGCCGCGUGAGGGAUGAAGGCCUCUGGGCUGUAAACCUCUUUUAUCAAGGAAGAAAAUCUGACGGUACUUGAUGAAUAAGCCACGGCUAAUUCCGUGCCAGCAGCCGCGGUAAUACGGGAGUGGCAAGCGUUAUCCGGAAUUAUUGGGCGUAAAGCGUCCGCAGGCGGCCCUUCAAGUCUGCUGUUAAAAAGUGGAGCUUAACUCCAUCAUGGCAGUGGAAACUGUUGGGCUUGAGUGUGGUAGGGGCAGAGGGAAUUCCCGGUGUAGCGGUGAAAUGCGUAAAUAUCGGGAAGAACACCAGUGGCGAAGGCGCUCUGCUGGGCCAUCACUGACGCUCAUGGACGAAAGCCAGGGGAGCGAAAGGGAUUAAAUACCCCUGUAGUCCUGGCCGUAAACGAUGAACACUAGGUGUCGGGGGAAUCGACCCCCUCGGUGUCGUAGCCAACGCGUUAAGUGUUCCGCCUGGGGAGUACGCACGCAAGUGUGAAACUCAAAGGAAUUGACGGA
rnacentral:rRNA from 1 species